rnacentral:rRNA from 1 species
CGGUUCUGCAGUGGGUACGGGCAGACUAGAGUGCAGUAGGGGAGACUGGAAUCCUGGUGUAGCGUGAAAUGCGCAGAUAUCAGGAGGAACACCGAUGGCGAAGGCAGGUCUCUGGGCUGUAACUGACGCUGAGGAGCGAAAGCAUGGGGAGCGAACAGGAUUAGAUACCCUGGUAGUCCAUGCCGUAAACGUUGGGCACUAGGUGUGGGGGACAUUCCACGUUUUCCGCGCCGUAGCUAACGCAUUAAGUGCCCCGCCUGGGGAGUACGGCCGCAAGGCUAAAACUCAAAGGAAUUGACGGGGGCCCGCACAAGCGGCGGAGCAUGCGGAUUAAUUCGAUGCAACGCGAAGAACCUUACCAAGGCUUGACAUGAACCGGAAAGACCUGGAAACAGGUGCCCCGCUUGCGGUCGGUUUACAGGUGGUGCAUGGUUGUCGUCAGCUCGUGUCGUGAGAUGUUGGGUUAAGUCCCGCAACGAGCGCAACCCUCGUUCUAUGUUGCCAGCGGUUCGGCCGGGGACUCAUAGGAGACUGCCGGGGUCAACUCGGAGGAAGGUGGGGACGACGUCAAAUCAUCAUGCCCCUUAUGUCUUGGGCUUCACGCAUGCUACAAUGGCCGGUACAAAGGGUUGCGAUACUGUGAGGUGGAGCUAAUCCCAAAAAGCCGGUCUCAGUUCGGAUUGGGGUCUGCAACUCGACCCCAUGAAGUCGGAGUCGCUAGUAAUCGCAGAUCAGCAACGCUGCGGUGAAUACGUUCCCGGGCCUUGUACACACCGCCCGUCAAGUCACGAAAGUUGGUAACACCCGAAGCCGGUGGCCUAACCCUUGUGGGGGGAGCCGUCGAAGGUGGGACCGGCGAUUGGGACUAAGUCGUAACAAGGUAGCCGUACCGGAAGGUGC